rnacentral:rRNA from 1 species
ACGGAGGGUGCGAGCGUUAUUCGGAAUAACUGGGCGUAAAGGGCACGUAGGCGGUGUGGUAAGUCGGGUGUGAAAGCCCAUGGCUCAACCGGGGGCCUGCAUUUGAUACUGCCGUGCUUGAGUGAAGUAGAGGUGGGCGGAAUGUCAUGUGUAGCGGUGAAAUGCGUAGAUAUCUGGCAGAACACCAGUGGCGAAGGCAGCUCACUGGACUGAAACUGACGCUGAUGUGCGAAAGCGUGGGGAUCAAACAG